AAUAUCAAAGGGUGCAGAAGGGUACACAACACGUCUCACCUGUCCCCAAUCUCCUGCUUUCCACUUCGGACAUCUGCCCCCUCUGCAUUUCUUUUGCACAUUGGGUUUAGCAAGACUGAAACCAGGACAUGCUCAUCCUUAAGAUUUAUGCAUUUUGAAAACAACUCAGAAGGUGGCAAGAAGGCAGAGCCCGACGAAUCAAAGCAAAAAGGAGAUCAGCAGGCAAUGAACGUCAGCAGCAAGAAGGAAUGUCAAAUCCUACCAAACCCAGUUGUAAGCUUCUAAUACUUUCAUCCAUUUACUAUCUUUGGACUAAAUACCAACACCGAUGCUUUAGCGAAAAUUCAAGUGCUUCUCCGUAAGCGCUCUCCAUGCAGGUUGAUGCCACUUUACUGUGACAGCCAAAGCUAAAGAGUAAAUUCACUGACUUGAUCAGCGCUCUCUCUUGCCCCACAUCCCAAGCCGGUACAGCCUUGCACAUCUCUCCAAUUCAAAAAAUACAUUGGAUCCGCUACUUAUUCUAAAGGAAGAAUACCCAUAUUGUGCAACAACACAAGCAUGUUUCUGGGGACCUGAAGUUGGUCGAUAAAUAUUUGAU